AUAUUCACGUGUACUCUUAAGAAAGCGUCUGUUCUCCAAACUGGCUUUCCAUUCUCCCCGUCCUAAAUGGUGCGUGGCUGACACCGUAGUGUUUUCAAAACUGGAUAUGGCCAGGAUGCUAUAGCAUUGUCAGUGUAAGUCCCUUUUGGGUAUUUUUAUUUAAUUGUGUAGUGACUUGACAGAAGUGUUUCCCAGCUUGACCUAAGUAAUGAAUUUGCAUAGGAUUUCAGCAUCAGUAUGGAAGUGAUCAGAUGUCAGUGGCUGGUGCCACCUUGCAGAUAAAUGGCCACUGGUCCACGUAGUUCGUCUUUACUAUACAUUUUGAUUAAGUUCUCUAGGACCAGCUGACUGGUAAUUAUAAGUCACAUGAAACCCUGCAGAGAUGAGAGCUUACAUUGAACACUUCUUAACAAGUUUUCUAUUCUUUGUUUCAUCUGUUACAAUUAAACUCACCUUCGUCUAGGGUAAGACCAUUACUUUACGCAAUAACAUACUAGCUUAAUUUACGGUAUUUAUAUGUAUUUAUAUAUAUUGUAUAUACAUAAUCAUACAUAUAAUUCUAUAACAUUUAGUUUGACUCUAAAGUUGGAAAAUCAGGAAAAUAACAGGUGAUGUUGAGUACUGAUUGUUUGCCGGGCCUGUGCCAAAUGGUGUGCAUGCUUUAUGUAACUUAAUCUAAAAAAAUUUGAAUACGUGAGUUUGAUUUCAGUGUGUCCAAAUGUGAAACGUGUACAUUAUUGUUAUUGUUUUGUUUUUUUUGAGACGGGGUUUUGCUCUCGUUCAGGCUGGAGUGCAAUGGCACUGUCUUGGCUCACUGCAACCUCCGCCUCCCGGGUUCAAGCGAUUCUCCUUCCUUAGCCUCCCAGGUAGCUGGGAUUACAGGCGCCCGCCACCACGCCCAGCUAAGUUUUGUAUUUUUAGUAGAGACGGAGUUUCACCAUGUUGGCUAGGCUGGUCUCGAACUCCAGACCUCAGGUGUUCCGCCCGCCUCGGCCUCCCAAAGUGCUGGGAUUACAGGCGUGAGCCACCGCGCCGGGCAAACGUGUGCAUUAAAUGCUUGUUUAUGCCUUUGUAAAAUAAGAGUGUUGGCAAUAUAAAAUGUUACCCAUAGAGUAAAUUAAUGUGUUUUUCAAGUUGGAAGAUGGCUUUAAAAAUUCAUAGAAGUACAAUUAGUCCCUUUAUUUAGGUGCUGAAUAGUUUCCAAAGCCCCGUGUCUCUUAUUUAUCAGAGUUUCUAUUAUAUAACAUUGUCACCCAGUGAACAGGCUAUGCUAGGACAUUGGAAAAAGGUAAAUAUUGAGAAAGCCCUAAUGGUCCUUUCUUAAAUGGCCCCCUCUUUCCAUAUUUAAUUUCUAAGUGACAUUCCUAAUUAAGGGUAAACAAACAUAAUGAAACAAGGCUAAUUUUCCAAUACCAAACUAAAAAAAUAAAAAACAGUGGACUGGCUAUUACUUUGUUGAUGAGUCUAGCACAGUUUUACUGGGCAUUUAAAUGUUAAGGAUGUUAUUUACAUUGUAGCUAGUUGUGAAAGAUUUGUGUGUCUAAGUUUUUAGUUUGCCUUUAAAUGUCUUGAACAUAUGCUUAGUAUUGAGUCCAGUACUUUGUGCAUUAAUAGUAAGUUUUUUGAUUGGAUUUAAUUGAACAGUUUUGGCUUCCUUAAUUUUAUUUUGAAGAUAGAAUUUAAUGAUUUGUGUAGGCAUAACAGUUACAAUUAACAGUGAUUCCGAGAUGAGCGUAGGGUUUAACUUAACAGUUCACAUUUUCUUGCGAGUUGAAAGGACUGGAGAGUUGGAUGUGUGUCUUCUUUGUGAUUAAAAAAGCAUGCUGGAACUUAGCUAUCAGAAGAUUCUGGUGGUCCAUCUUUGGGAAGAGGAAAAGAUUAAGAAUGCUUUGCUAGUCAGUAUUUACAAGAGGGUUUCUUUACUUAAAGGCAUUUUCUCUUUGGGGAGGGGAGGAGUUGAGAGUUGUCAUUAAUGGAAGGAUCUUAGAAUAAAAAAGAUGUAUACAUGUUUUCCUUUGGAGUGAAUUUGUGACUGGAGAUGGGGUUUCACUGUGUUAGCCAGGAUGGUCUCGAUCUCCUGACCUCGUUAUCUGCCCUCCUCAGCCUCCCAAAGUGCUGGGAUUACAGGUGUGAGCCACCGUGUCUGGCCUAUGUGCUUUUUAAAGAUGGAACUGAUUUAGAAUGCAGUAUAUUACAGUACAUGAAAAAAUUUUGGAAUUUCUGUAUGUUUUUCACUGUUGGAAAGCCAUAGUGAGUGUAAUAACAGCAUUGGCUCCUGUUCAUAAGGCAUUUAAAUGAUGUGUUUCCUAUGACAGGAAGACAAGCGUUUCUCAUUCCUUCAAAAUUUGGCUCUCAGAUGGAGUGCCCUUUAAGCUCCCUGAAUGCAGGGACUUCUUCUGUUUCACUCAUUGUCUUUUUUCUGGGGCCUAGAACAGAACCUGGCAAACUGAGAGUGCUAUGUAAACCUUUGUAGAAUGAGCACUUUCCCUGGGGAAUCCUCUCUCCACUUUCCACUAGUGAAGAUCCCACCUGCUUUUAGGUGCAGGGCCACUCCAGCCUGACUUUCUCUGCAAUCUGCAGCCCACAAUGAUUCUUUGAACAUUAACUGUGUAUACCACACUCUGUGACAGUGAAUCUUUUAUAGCUUUAUAUUGAUACAUGAGUGUUUCAUGUAUUUUGUUUCCUCACCCAAAAUAUAAGCUCUUCAAGGCUACAGGAUAUCCUAUUUUUGAGAAUUGCCUUGGUAUCCAGUAUAAUAUAUAAUAUUAUAUAAUACCUAUAAUAUAUAAUGUAAUAUAUGUAAUAUAUAAUAUAUAUAAUAUACAUGUAUAUAUACAGAGUAGGUUAUAUUUUAGUUAGGCAAACCUAGUGUACACAUGUGAAACAGUACUAGAAUUUGGAGCUAAAUAAGAGUUAAUACUUAUGUCGUGCUUAAAAUGUGAACCUCACAACAAUCCUUUGAAGUAGGUACAAUUAUUUCCUCAUUUUUCAGAGGAAGAAAUGGAGACACAGCAAAGUAAUUAAGUUUGUUGCUCAAGAUCGUACCGGAAAUCAUAAGUAGGCAGUCUGGCUCCAGAGGCGGUGUGGUUUCUCUGGGGAGCUUUACUUUAUACUUCGAAGGGACAUCUAAGCACUACUUUUGCAGCUGUAAGAGAUGCUCUUUUAAAAAUUUCAAAGUAGCGUAAGAGAUUGCAGUGUCUCUAAACUGCAGAAGGAAUGCUGGAUUUUCUAUAUAGAGGACAUUGAUAAUGGAAUGGUUAAGGGGACAUUAUAUAUUGAAAUGACUAAAGAUGGUGGAGAGAAACUGAAGUUUGAAUCUCAAAGCUGAGGAUUAUGAUUUUUUAUAGAUACUGAAUUCUAGAACAGUGAUUCACCAGGACAUAGGACAAUGAUUGCUUGUUACUAAUUUAGUAUCAAAAAACUUAUGCCAAAUAAAAUAAUAUUGAAUGACA
rnacentral:lncRNA from 1 species